rnacentral:rRNA from 1 species
GCAUAUCUCCUAGUUGCGAUUCGCUCUUCGAAGUCGAGAGAAGUUUGAGUUGCGGACGUCUAUUCGGAUCUUAGAUUGACACCCUCCCUAAGAUGUAGCACAACUUUAAUUUAACGAGGAGUUCUUUUCUAGAUACACAUACCGAAGAUAUUUAAGACCUCAGCAAGUAGAAAACGGGGGACUAGCAACGGCACCGCCUUCGUGAAGCCGAGCCGUUCUGGACGAGAAGGGCUGCUCUAGACUUCCACCGAAAGGUACCCUCUGAAAUUGCCUUCAAAGGUAGCGUACGUUGCGCUCAGUGCGAGACUGCUCGGUGGUUCUCCUGGAGGGAAAGUCGGCCCUGGGACCCCGUUGCUCGGAAUAGGAUCCACUCCAUUGUUGAGAGGAGUAGCUCUAGUAGCUAAAACCCCCCUUCGUGGAGGGACCUCUCUCUCUCUUGUAGUUAUAAUGCACCUAGCACUCGCCGGGGGCUCGUUGAUGAUGGGAGGAGCGCUGAAUAGCCCGGGUCCCACUAGCACUAGUAAAAUUUCCUUUAGCAGCCGGUUUUAUAAGCCCGGUUCCAUUUCUAGAAAGUGGAAGACGACUCUGCUCGUUCGGGUGUUGAGUGUGUGUAAGACCAUCGUACCCUCCUUGUCCCUUCCUUGUUGUGAGAUUACUACGAAGUCUCCCUUUUGUUUGCGUGCAACUACCAGGGAGUGACUGUGGAGUACGACGACGGUCGUCAGUCCUACGUAUAUUUCUUCUCCCCUACCUUCACCUAGGGAACUGCCGAUAGAAACUACCUCUACACCUCGUGACGUAGUCACGACACCGGUGGGUGGAGUUUGAGUCAUCCCCUUGUUUCGAACAGUAGCUUCGAAGUGGUUGAAGACUGGGUUUCACAUGUCAUGGUUGUCGCGGGAGCUUUAACUGCUCCGCAUGUAACGCCUCACCCCCGCUCGUUUUAUUCGGUACCCUCGGGGGACAGUUCUCGUGAUCAGGUUGCUGGAACCAUUAUGAAUUAGGUCAGGAGCUGUUCCGAGGACUAAAAGGGUGUUCUUGAGAUCGGGUUCUUAAAUAGUUUAGAGAACUCUUCUCUACCUCCGCUCUAUCGCGCCGGGUCGAUGUUCACCCCGACGGAAUGUCACUCUUUAAAAAUUAGACCCGAUCCUACUACAACUAUCGACUCCUCCUGUCCGUUUACAACCUCGCACGUCCGUAAGAAUCUCCUCAAAAGUCGUAUGAAAAGGCGUAGACGGGUCGAACCGGCGAGUAAGUUCGGAAAUAACUAAAGACCUUACAACUACCAGUAUGGAAUUAGUACUUCCUUUAUACGGGAUCUCCGUUAUUAUUUCAAUAAUAAAUAAAAAAAUAUAGUACUAUUUACAAAUAAUAAGUACGAUCUUAACAUAAUUGGCUUUUAUACUAUGUACACACUUAUGUAUCUGUUUGUCUCACAGUGAUCAUACGGAAAUGAACUGAUCGAGCAACUAGUUUCUACCAAUACAAAGGAUCGUAUCUGUUUCUCAACAGUAAACUAAUUGCCCUAGUGGAGUAAUCCUCUUACCACACUAACUGAACUG